rnacentral:rRNA from 1 species
CGGGAAAAGCUCAAAUUUAAAAUCUGGCAGUCUUUGGCUGUCCGAGUUGUAAUCUGGAGAAGUGUUUUCCGCGCUGGACCGUGUACAAGUCUCUUGGAAUAGAGCGUCAUAGAGGGUGAGAAUCCCGUCUUUGACACGGACUACCAGUGCUUUGUGAUGCGCUUUCAAA